rnacentral:rRNA from 1 species
UACGUAGGGGGCUAGCGUUGUCCGGAUUUAUUGGGCGUAAAGAGCGUGUAGGCGGCCAUGUAGGUCCGGUGUGAAAACUCGAGGCUUAACCUCGAGAUGUCAUCGGAAACCAUUUGGCUAGAGUCCGGAAGAGGAGAGUGGAAUUCCUGGUGUAGCGGUGAAAUGCGCAGAUAUCAGGAGGAACACCCGUGGCGAAAGCGGCUCUCUGGGACGGUACUGACGCUGAGACGCGAAAGCGUGGGGAGCAAACAGG